UAACGCGUGAGGAACCUGCCUUGAAGAGGGGGACAACAGUUGGAAACGACUGCUAAUACCGCAUGAAGCAUAGGGGUCGCAUGAUCUUUAUGCCAAAGAUUUAUCGCUUCAAGAUGGCCUCGCGCCUGAUUAGCUAGUUGGCGGGGUAACGGCCCACCAAGGCGACGAUCAGUAGCCGGACUGAGAGGUUGAACGGCCACAUUGGGACUGAGAUACGGCCCAG
rnacentral:rRNA from 1 species